rnacentral:antisense_RNA from 1 species
UGUGGGAGCGAGCUUGCUCGCGAUGGCGGUGGAUCAGCCGACUUUAAUGUUGACUGGUGCACUGCUAUCGCGAGCAAGCUCGCUCCCACA